UACGUAGGGUCCAAGCGUUUGUCCGGAUUUAUUGGGCGUAAAGAGCUCGUAGGUGGUUCGCUAAGUCGGGAUGUGAAAACUCGGGGCUUAACCCCGGGCCUGCAGUGGGUACGGGCAGACUAGAGUGCGGUAGGGGAGACUGGAAUCCUGGUGUAGCGGUGAAAUGCGCAGAGUAUCAGGAGGAACACCGGUGGCGAAGGCGGGUCUCUGGGCCGUAACUGACGCUGGAGGAGCGAAAGCGUGGGGAGCGAACAGG
rnacentral:rRNA from 1 species